rnacentral:lncRNA from 1 species
CAACCCAAGGUAAAGUUUGAACCCCUUGAGUAGUUCAACAUACAGUGCAAAAGUGGUAUAAUACAUAAAACAGAAAGGUAAAAGGAUAACAAGAAAGAACCUGUCAUUAACAAAAACACACGUGAACCAUAUUUACAGUUCAAUACCAAAACAUUUUCAGGCCAGAAUAUAUCAGUAACCUAGGUUGCUCGGACUCUCCAAAAAUGUUACCACACCCAUGUCGGAUCCUCCAAAAAAUGCACUACUUUUGGAGGAUUUGACACGCUCUUGGUGGCAUUUUUGAAGAGUCCGAGCAACAUAGACAGUAACGUAAUAUUCAAGCAUAGUUCUUUAAGAAGGAGAAGUGGAUAUUUCAUUACAUUUGCUGUGAAGUGGAUAUGUUCUUACAUACUUGGAAAAAGGACAAACUGUAGCCACAACAGUUGGACCAGGAGAGCACACCUUAUUACUCAAUGUAAAUAAUAUUCACCGUGCUUCAUUACAUAGCUCAACUCCAGUUCUAAACUUUCAACAACCAGUAACUCAGAAAUCCACCACCACCUCCAGCCCCUAUAAAUAUCCUUGUUCCUGGACACUCAAGUUAGUGUCUCUCAGUAUCUCCUUCCCUCUCUUCCUCUCUCGCUCUCUCUAUCUAUAUAUCUCUCCUUCUCUAUAUAUCUUUCAUAAGUGCAUGUGAGUGGGUAGUAUUUGUGCAUGGAUACAGAAGUGCAUGCAGAAAAAGGAUUUAUACACAAUUAAGCUCUCUCUAUAACACUCCAAAACAAGCAACAAGAGAUAAGAGGAAGAAGCUUAAAGAAGAUGGCAGCAGAACAGAUCAAAAAGCACCCGACAUUACCAGAGGUACAAACUACAGAAUCCUUUUAAAACAUUUGUAAUCACAGGAAAUAUGUGUAUUAAUCACCCUGACAAGCACAAUUUCCCCCCAUAAUUUCUAGGUCAAGGAGGAAUUGAAGAAAAUAAUUGACAGAGGUUUUCCUAUACUUGCUAUGGGCUUGGCAACCUAUUUGAAAAACAUGAUUUUAGUUGUGUGCAUGGGAAGGCUGGGAAGCUUGGAGCUGGCAGGGGGUGCACUGGCCAUUGGCUUCACCAAUAUUACUGGUUACUCAGUCUUGUCUGGCCUAGCCUUGGGGAUGGAACCACUUUCUAGCCAGGCUUUUGGAUCAAGAAACUUAACUUUAGUGUCUCUUGCCCUCCAAAGGACAAUCUUUAUGUUAUUAACUGCAUCUAUACCUAUUGCCUUUUUAUGGUUUAAUUUUGAGUCUCUCAUGCUAAAGCUACACCAAGACUCACAAAUAAUACAUGUAGCAAGUGUAUUUUGCAGAUUUGCUGUCCCAGAUCUUAUUGCUAACAGCUUUCUUCACCCUUUACGCAUCUACUUACGGUGUAAAGGUACAACAUGGCCUCUAUUAUGGUGUACUUCACUUGCAACAAUGCUGCAUUUCCCUAUCACAGUUUACCUGACUUUUACUCUGAGUCUUGGGAUCCAAGGAAUUGCAAUUUCAACCUUUGUCUCCAACUUUGUCACCUUAUUCUUCCUUUUAGGCUAUAUAUUCUUUACUUAUGACCAAAACGGAUCUCCAUCAAAACCCCUAGCAGAAAAUGUAAAACUUCUUCCUUCCAUUUCUGUGGGAGAACAAUGGAUAAUGCUUCUUCAACUUGCUAUACCUAGCUGUUUAGCAGUUUGCUUAGAGUGGUGGUGGUAUGAAUUCAUGACAGUUCUAGCCGGCUACCUUGACAGACCUGAAGUUCCACUUGCUGCAUCUGCUAUCGUUAUACAAACCACAUCCCUCAUGUACACAUUACCUUCGGCCCUAAGUGCUUCAGUCUCAAGCAGGGUAGGGAAUGAACUUGGAGCGGGACGGCCAGCUAAGGCCCGCUUGGCAACAGGGAUAGCCAUAGGGCUGGCCUUUUUGACUUCAACAUUUGGAUUCAUACUGACCACCCUAGGGAGAGAAGCAUGGGGAAGAGUCUUUACAAAAGAUAGAGAAGUUCUGGAGCUAACAGCGACCGUUCUUCCCAUUAUUGGACUUUGUGAACUAGCUAAUUGUCCACAGACAACAUGUUGUGGGGUUCUUCGGGGGAGUGCUAGGCCCGGUGUUGGUGCAGGUAUUAACUUUUACUCGUUCUAUUUGAUGGGAACACCAGUGGCCAUCACUUUGGCCUUCGUUUGGAAGCUAGGAUUUUUGGGCCUUUGUUAUGGGCUUCUAGCAGCUCAAGUGGCAUGUGUAAUCUCAAUGUUAAUAGUCACUUAUAGUACUGAUUGGGAAGGAGCAUCAUUGAAGGCAAAAGAACUAGUGGGAAGAUCUAAUGAACUCCCAUAUGAAGAUCAACUGGUAAAAUUUGAGGAGGGUAAUGGAUUUCUCAAAAGAUUUAGCUUCUGAAGAGGAAGGAAAUCUAAGGAUGCAAUGGAUGGAAAGGAAAAGGAAGAGAUGGCACAGACAAGAAGAAAGCGAAGAACAUUACAUCCUCUCAGUAUUUCGAGUCAUAGAAUAUGCAACAUGUACCUUGGACUUUUGACGUUAAAGCAACUAGUUUCAUAUCUAACAGGAUUGUUGAUGGGAUAAUGGAAGUAUAGGCGAGCAGAAGUGUGUUUUAUAGCCCAAAUGUGUAAAUGUAAGAGGCUUUUGGUUUGCAUUUUCUAGAUAUCAAUAUAUGUUAUCUUAGUAGCUAUGACAUAAACAUUUGCAUGAGCUUCUAGUUUCUAUUUUACAGUUAUCAGACUAACCAUCACAACAUGCUUCAAAUUCAAUGCACCCUCUCUCCCUCCCUUCUUAAAAUUUGAGACAGAAAAGGAGUGCAUUUUAUCUCUGCAUUUGUGGGGCAUAAGCUCUAAAAGAAGAAGCAAAAGCCCUAUGAACUUCAAUUUUGGAUUAUCAAAUAUUAUUUGAAUAUUUAAAAGAUACUUUAGGAGAAAAAAAUAUUCAUUGUUAGGGGAACAAUCUUAUAAAUGGAACAAUUUUGAAUAGAAUAUUAUACUUCUCUAGGAGAAAUCAAUUACAGAAGUGAUAUAUUUUUUCUGAAGAUGUAAAGGUUUACUACAACACAUAUUUAGCUCAUAACAUUGAUUUUGUCAUUUUCACCUUUACUCCAUAUCUUUCACACAGUAAAACAUUUUGUGUACUUGUAAGUCUCUAUAAUAAGACAUUAGCUCAAAUUAACAUUGAUUUUCCUUAGGUAACCAAAAAUUGAGAUACAAAAGGAGCAGUCAGUAGAGAGAUACGAACAAACAGGGUCUGCAGUGAGAGGCCAACAGGAAUAAAAAAAUUUAAAGCCCGGGUGCGAUUUGAUAAUAUUGCCCUAAUGAGAGCCCAGUGCCUUUUAACAUGUUGGUAAGUAUAUAUAUUUCAAAAUCAUAAGUUCAUAACUAUCUGUAGAAAAUGAAAAUUAAAAGAGACCAAGAGAAAAAACUGAACAUAAGACACUAUGAAUUAUGCAAGAGCAUUAAAAUAAAUGUCAAAGACUUUCUUCACUUCUUCCACAACAUUCAUAUAAAAAUACACAGAUUGUGCUCUGCCGAGCCCCUAUACACCCCCUAAUGGCUUCUGAAAUUCAGUGUCUCUACACAUUGGGAGGCAAACUACACAAAGUGGAAAUGUAACUGACUUGGUAGCAGUGUUAUCAAAGGCGAAAAGCACAAAAAAGCUCUAAGGUCUGUUGGGGCUUUAAGCGCAAAGUGCAAAUGAAGCGUGGGCUUUAAUGAAAAAAGGCGCAAAGGGAGAAAAAAAUACAAAUAUAUAUGUUUAGUUCAAGACUAAUAAUUAUAAACAUGAAUGACAAUUAUAUGACCAAAGAAAUUGAUUUUUUUAUGAUAAAGUGAAAUAUCAAUUGUUUAGUGUCACCUCUGACGAGGACGCUCAUUGGCAAGGAAAAAUAUGCAUUAGAACCUUGAUGACAACACUAAAGCGCACAUAAAGCGAGGCGAGGCGCUCAAUACGUUUUGAGCCUUGCUUCAGGGCUCAAGUGUGCCUUUGAUAACACUGCUUGGUAGCAAACAUGGUGUAACAACUGUUUUGUUAACUAGUGAGUUAUCACAACCACUGCAGUCUCUAACUCGAGGCAUUACAAGGAUUCAAAUGGGGAUAACCUAGAGUUAUGCGUUGUAACGGACAGAAUAUCACGUAUACAACAGGAGCUAUAUGUCUAGAAUCCAUUAACUCACCACUAAAUUCAUGUGAUAUUUGGUUAUUUUUCACCCUUUGUCAUGCUAUACUAUUUCCAAAUGAAUUUAACUCGAGUUGUGUGCCUGCACCCGCUGCUUUCUAUACACAUCCAUCUAUGCUCUUUCUGCUCUAUCCUCCCUCUUUGUAGAUUUGAUCAAGCAAAAGCCUUUACCUUUUUGUUUUGAAUCCCUAUACCCGAACUCCUUCACAUAUUCUUUUCUCUGUGUAGAGUUACAACAAUUCCAAUACACUAUUAGCACUUAACUAUGUGUCCCUUUUCUUUUACCUUCCAAUUCCCAAAAGCUAACAACCAUAAGUGCCUCAACAGUGUAAAAAAGAAAAGACCUUUCUCAACAAUCCUUAACGACUAGGGAUAUUUGGAUAAAACUUUCAAACUCUAAUUUCUCUUCCUUCAUUCACUUGUAAAUUCUUUCAUGUGUAAUACUCGCCAUUCAGAUUGCUAGGGACUGCCAUUUUUAGCUAUGUAUUACGCACUUGAUGUUAAUGUAAGUUUCAACGGAUAGAACACAUUAUCAGAGAUUCGUUGAGUCUAAUUUGUACCAUCUAACCUCGAAAAAAAAAGGAUCUGAAUGUGGAUCAUCAAAACAGAAGAAAUUCAUCCACAACUAUAUAUAUGCUCAUUAAACACUCCAAUUUUAUUUGACGUAUUCACUGAGAGUUCAUGCAUUGUCUUGUUACCUGUCCAUACCAGUAGUCCUAGUAUUGUUGUUGUAGUUUCUUGUAAUUCAAUUAUCUUAUUACUAUGCCGUAGUAACUGUUCAGAAUGCUUUGCUAUACUUUUUCUGGAUUGCCUUCAAUUGUUUUUUUCCCUAAAACCUCUCUACCUCAAUCUCCCCAGACUCCACUUUGUGGGACUGACUACAUUGAGUCAAUGCUAGAAGAAAUAGAAUUUGUAGAAAUUUCAUAAUCAGAGCAGUUCAACUAAAGGAAAAUGACAGAGUAUUGCCCUAUUUUGGACUAAACGCAAUUUCAAGUGCCAAUUUAUAACAACUAAGGAUUUCAAUUCUCGUGACAAAAAUGUAAAAGGAGUAAAAUGCGAAAGAGAGAAAACGAGCUUACCGGUGAUCACAGAGGAUAAAUAAUCGGAGAUUCCACCGGACGGAGCUCAACGUCGGAGCAAAAUUAAAUUUUCCAACGAAACGCUGUUACAAAAACGUGAUUUCACAGAUCGUAAACAACUUCUCCGUGAUCUAUUCUUAUUGGGCUUAGAUAUCACGGCUCGUUUAGAUGGG